GACGAACGCUGGCGGCGUGCUUAACACAUGCAAGUCGAACGGAAAGGCCCUGCUUUUGUGGGGUGCUCGAGUGGCGAACGGGUGAGUAACACGUGAGUAACCUGCCCUUGACUUUGGGAUAACUUCAGGAAACUGGGGCUAAUACCGGAUAGGAGCUCCUGCUGCAUGGUGGGGGUUGGAAAGUUUCGGCGGUUGGGGAUGGACUCGCGGCUUAUCAGCUUGUUGGUGGGGUAGUGGCUUACCAAGGCUUUGACGGGUAGCCGGCCUGAGAGGGUGACCGGCCACUUGGGGACGGAGAUACGGCCCAGACUCCUACGGGAGGCAGCGGGGGGGAAUAUUGCACAAUGGGCGGAAGCCUGAGGCAGCAACGCCGCGGGCGGGAUGACGGCCUUCGGGUUGUAAACCGUUUUCGCCUGUGACGAAGCGUGAGGGACGGUAAUGGGUAAAGAAGCACCGGCUAACUACGU
rnacentral:rRNA from 1 species